UCUCUAAUGCUCACAAGUGCCUGGCAACCAGGAGAGACAGUCAGUUGUGCUGGGGGAGGGGAGCCAGCCAGGUUCUAGAAAUAGUGUCCCUGACUUUGCUCUGCUAACUGUGCAGUUAGAGGUGAUAGUCUCCACCUAGGUCAUGAGGGACCCAGAAAUGGCUGAUGGCACCCUGGAGCUCAGUCCAUACCAGGCCCAGCUGGACCCACAGCAAACCGCAGGGUCCAAGGAAGCUGGGUCCUGCCCACCAAGGUCCUAGGGACCCUCCUCUGAGGCCCCCUCUCUCCUUCGUGUUUAGUCAAUGUCAGCAGAUGGGGAGAGGACUGAAAGGUCUCCCUAAAGGUACAAGCUGAGAAACCUGGAUUUUCAGUCAGACAGCUCACGUGGACCCAGGUUGGGGUUGAUCAUGCAGAUUGUGCAGGGGUCCUCCGCAGAUGCACACCGGUGUGCACUGAUGUGGAGCUGCUCCUUCCUGCUUCCUGGGCUCCAGACAGAAACACCAUACCCCUGCACCAGCCUCCGCCUCAGCUCUUCAUAGUCAGCACACCCUCUGCUUCCUGUCAGGGUCUUCUCUGCUGAGUCUGGUUAUGGGAUCCCUUUCCAUGCAGAGCCAUGCUUCCGUGCCACUGCGUGUCACCUUCAAGCUAGCCCCAUGUGUAUGUCUGUGUGAGAAUAUAUGUGUGUGGGUUUGCCAUCAAAGGAAAACUUUUAUUUUGGCUGCUAAAAUUCAGAAAAAUUUAAAGAACAAACAGUAUCUUUUAAAAAACAUCAAAGGUUCAGAAAAAAAACAAGACAAGAAACAAAUUGUUGUAAAAUUUCAAUUCCCCUAAAUUUGUCUAUGAACUUAGAACUAAUCUAAUAAAAAUAGUAUGAUGUUUCAA